rnacentral:lncRNA from 1 species
AAGUCAAGGAGGACACGACAAGGUAGCUAGCUCUACACGAAGAGAGCUUGCCCUGCCGCACCGCCGCCGCCGCCAUGGGAGGCAAGUCGUUCUUCUGCCCGAUCUUCAGCUUCCUGCGCAAGUCGCGGCGGUACGACGACGACAUGAGCGACUGGGACGGGCGGACGGGGUACGUGCGCAAGGUGCGCUCCAGCGACGAGGACUACGGCGGGUGGUGGAUCGGCGAGCGCGACGUCGACCGCAAGGCCUCCGACUUCAUCAACAACUUCCACCAGAAGAAGGUCGCCGUCUAGCCGCCGGCCGCCGACACCGGUAACGUACCAGUAGCAUGGUCAGCGACUGAUCAUAUCUACGGGGAACGACGAACGCCACUGCGACGACAUCGACAACGACGGCACGGGCGGCCGCGCUGCCGGCAGGCUCAUCACGCUCAUGCAGCUACGUUGUUACAUUUAGGUUCUUUGAUAUGUUUUUAUAUGUUAAUGUAUGUUGAUUAUAUUAGCUUAUCUCGUUUGUGGAUGACGUUGUUAUGCUGUGUUCAUUGAGGAUGAAUAAUUCUGGACGUACAGACCUAUAUUAGAUCAUUUCUAUUGUUUUGUUUGUGCUGUGUAUGUAGUACGUGUAUGUGUGUCCAUCUAUCAUGGAUGCAUGUAUGUGUCCAUCUAUCACACAUUCACACAUGUAUCACUCAUCACCCAAGAAAUAAUGUAUGUAUGAUCAUGCUAUCAUAUACAUGCACUGCACCUGCAACAGUUUCUUCUUUGGGACUAGUACUACUUAAUUAGUGUAGCAGUCGUAAUUUGUUCUCCUUGAUUAGCAUAUGUAGAAAUGUAGUCCCUGCACAUGCAUCAUUAAUAUACUAAGCUCUGGGAGAGGUAUCUAACGCCAACACUAUUAUUGCUUGACGAUUGCAUUUUGUACUUCGCUUGGAACUGUCAUCUUUAAUUUACCUUUGCACAAUAAUUAAAGAAACCUAGCAGAGGGCAAGCUUUCCGUAACUAUACAUGUGAUAAAUUGCAAAUACUAUAUGCUAGCUCCUGAAUUCAAUUCUAGGUCUGAAAAUUCAUAUAUCUGUGUUCUUAAUUAGUACAUGUAUCGAUCUAGCUAGCUACCAACAUUAAUUAGCUCCAUAGCUUCAUUUUUAGGCAUCCUUCAACGUCCAUGUAAAUAUGGCCAAAUAACCAAACCCAUUGAAUUCUCAAUCAUUGAAGCCCUUUGGAAAUAUUUUUUUAGUGCCUCGAAUUUUUAUUUUCA